AUUUCAUGAGUGGGGCAUUGAAUCAGAAGUGAUUUAAACCUUGCCCAUGCUUCAAGAAUUCUUUCACCUUCUAAUUGUUUGAAAGUUAAAAUGCGAUCCCUGAACAU
rfam:Solanum tuberosum cultivar DM 1-3 516 R44 scf00028_43, whole genome shotgun sequence.